rnacentral:rRNA from 1 species
GACGAACGCUGGCGGCGUGCUUAACACAUGCAAGUCGAACGGAAAGGCCCUGCUUUUGUGGGGUGCUCGAGUGGCGAACGGGUGAGUAACACGUGAGUAACCUGCCCUUGACUUUGGGAUAACUUCAGGAAACUGGGGCUAAUACCGGAUAGGAGCUCCUGCUGCAUGGUGGGGGUUGGAAAGUUUCGGCGGUUGGGGAUGGACUCGCGGCUUAUCAGCUUGUUGGUGGGGUAGUGGCUUACCAAGGCUUUGACGGGUAGCCGGCCUGAGAGGGUGACCGGGCACAAUGGGAAUGAGAGACGGCCCAGACUGCUACGGGAGGCAGCAGGGGGGAAUAUGGCACAAGGGGCGGACGCCUGAUGCAGCAGCGCCGCGUGCGGGAUGACGGCCUUCGGGUGGUAAACCACUUUCGCCUGUGACGAAGCGUGAGUGACGGUAAUGGGUAAAGAAGCACCGGCUAACUACGUG